rnacentral:rRNA from 1 species
UACGGAGGGUGCAAGCGUUAUCCGGAUUCACUGGGCUUAAAGGGUGCGUAGGUGGGCAGGUAAGUCAGUGGUGAAAUCUCCGAGCUUAACUCGGAAACUGCCAUUGAUACUAUUUGUCUUGAAUAUCCUGGAGGUGAGCGGAAUAUGUCAUGUAGCGGUGAAAUGCUUAGAUAUGACAUAGAACACCAAUUGCGAAGGCAGCUCACUACGGGAUAAUUGACGCUGAGGCACGAAAGCGUGGGGAUCAAACAGG